GUGAAUCAUCAAAUUUUUGAACGCAUAUUGCACUCUCUGGUAUUCCGGAGAGUAUGCCUAUUUGAGGGUCAUUUGAAUUAAUAUAACUUUUUCGAGAUGUUCUUGGAGUCAAAAAUGGGAGGGUCCAGCAUUCGUGUGGUGCUCGCCUAAAAUGCAAAACAAGCACAUUUCUUGGAUUGCGUGAUAGGUUCAGUUACCUCGUGACUACACAAGGAAUCUUUGAGCGAGUUGGAAAUUGUGC
rnacentral:misc_RNA from 1 species